CAGCAGCCACGGUAAUACGUAGGGCGCAAGCGUUAUCCGGAAUUAUUGGGCGUAAAGAGCUCGUAGGCGGUUUGUCGCGUCUGCCGUGAAAGUCCGGGGCUCAACCCCGGAUCUGCGGUGGGUACGGGCAGACUAGAGUGAUGUAGGGGAGACUGGAAUUCCUGGUGUAGCGGUGAAAUGCGCAGAUAUCAGGAGGAACACCGAUGGCGAAGGCAGGUCUCUGGGCAUUAACUGACGCUGAGGAGCGAAAGCAUGGGGAGCGAACAGGAUUAGAUACCCCAGUAGUCCCUGUCUCUUAUAC
rnacentral:rRNA from 1 species